rnacentral:rRNA from 1 species
GUGCACGCUGGCGGUAGGCCUAACACCUGCCAGUCGAACGGCAGCACAGUAAGAGCUUGCUCUUACGGGUGGCGAGUGGCGGACGGGUGAGGAAUACAUCGGAAUCUACUUUUUCGUGGGGGAUAACGUAGGGAAACUUACGCUAAUACCGCAUACGACCUACGGGUGAAAGCAGGGGAUCUUCGGACCUUGCGCGAUUGAAUGAGCCGAUGUCGGAUUAGCUAGUUGGCGGGGUAAAGGCCCACCAAGGCGACGAUCCGUAGCUGGUCUGAGAGGAUGAUCAGCCACACUGGAACUGAGACACGGUCCAGACUCCUACGGGAGGCAGCAGUGGGGAAUAUUGGACAAUGGGCGCAAGCCUGAUCCAGCCAUACCGCGUGGGUGAAGAAGGCCUUCGGGUUGUAAAGCCCUUUUGUUGGGAAAGAAAAGCAGCGGGUUAAUACCCCGCUGUUCUGACGGUACCCAAAGAAUAAGCACCGGCUAACUUCGUG